CCUACGGAGGCAGCAGUGGGGAAUAUUGGACAAUGGGCGAAAGCCUGAUCCAGCCAUGCCGCGUGUGUGAAGAAGGCCUUCGGGUUGUAAAGCACUUUCAGUGGGGAAGAAAGCCUUGGGGCUAAUACCCUCGAGGAAGGACAUCACCCACAGAAGAAGCACCGGCUAACUCCGUGCCAGCAGCCGCGGUAAUACGGAGGGUGCGAGCGUUAAUCGGAAUUACUGGGCGUAAAGCGCGCGUAGGCGGUCUGAUAAGCCGGUUGUGAAAGCCCCGGGCUCAACCUGGGAACGGCAUCCGGAACUGUCAGGCUAGAGUGCAGGAGAGGAAGGUAGAAUUCCCGGUGUAGCGGUGAAAUGCGUAGAGAUCGGGAGGAAUACCAGUGGCGAAGGCGGCCUUCUGGACUGACACUGACGCUGAGGUGCGAAAGCGUGGGUAGCAAACAGGAUUAGAUACCUGUAGUC
rnacentral:rRNA from 1 species